rnacentral:rRNA from 1 species
AUUGAACGCUGGCGGCAGGCCUAACACAUGCAAGUCGAGCGAGCGGCGGACGGGUGUGUAAUGUAUGGGGAUCUGCCUCAUUGAGGGGGAUAACUACUGGAAACGGUGGCUAAUACCGCAUACUAUCGGUUGAACCCAUCUGGGUUUAGCUAGUUGGUGGGGUAAAGGCUCACCUAGGCGACGAUCUCUAGCUGGUCUGAGAGGAUGAACGGCCACACUGGGACUGAGACACGGCCCAGACUCCGACGGGAGGCAGCAGUGGGGAAUAGUGCACAAUGGGCGCAAGCCGGAUGCAGCCAGGCCGCGUGUAUGAAGAAGGCCGUAGGGUUGUAAAGUACUUUCAGCGGGGAGGCGUUACCCGCAGAAGAAGCACCGGCUAACUCCGUGCCAGCAGCCGCGGUAAUAC